AUUUUCCUUAUUCACAUUGCCGCAAGUCAGAGAUGAAUUUUGGGAUUUGUAUAAAAACUGCUUCCAUCAGAGAGUCUUAGAAGGAAGACUACGUAUCUGCAUGUAUGGUCCAAAGCCUGCUCCAAACCUAAAGAAGAAGAAAAAAUAAAUGACUGUUCAUUAAUUGUAUCAAAUUCUUAAAAAUCAUCAAAUUAAAUCUAUACUUGUCUGUUU